rnacentral:rRNA from 1 species
UACAGAGGGUGCGAACGUUGCUCGGAAUUACUGGGCGUAAAGCGCAUGUAGGCGGGUCGCAAGUCAGAUGUGAAAGCCCCGGGCUCAACCCGGGAACUGCAUCUGAAACUGCCGGUCUUGAGUACUGGAGAGGGUGGCGGAAUUCCUGGUGUAGAGGUGAAAUUCGUAGAUAUCAGGAGGAACACCGGUGGCGAAGGCGGCCACCUGGACAGUCACUGACGCUGAGAUGCGAAAGCGUGGGGAGCAAACAGG